rnacentral:rRNA from 1 species
AGAUUUGAUGUUGGCUGAAGUUAACCAAACCUUGGCUAAGAAAGACAUUGACUUGGUAGUCAGUCAAGCGGCUAAAGAUUAUAUCACAGAAGAAGGUUACGACGAAGUCAUGGGGGUUCGUCCUCUCCGUCGAGUGGUUGAACAAGAAAUUCGUGAUAAGGUGACAGACUUCCACUUGGAUCAUUUAGAUGCUAAACAUCUGGAAGCAGAUAUGGAAGAUGGCGUUUUGGUUAUUCGUGAGAAAGUCUAAGAUAGAAUUUUGAGGAUAAAAAAGAAGGAGCCAGCUGAAAAAAACUGGUUCCUUUUGAGGUACGACGGGCAUGUCGUACAGUAGGUUGAAACUAGAAUAGUACACAUCUACUUCUAAAACAUUGUUAGAAAUCGAAUUGACUGUCCUGAACGAUUUGUCCUGUUCUUAUUUCAUUUUACUAUAUAUCUGAAUAUCUGAGGUGUAAGUCCUCGGUGGGCACCCACUACCGGUGAACCCAAUAGCGAUUCCCAAGCCUGACUAUCGUGAGGUAGCGGAUUAAAACGGUCUGGGGAUAGACCGUUUUAAGUCUGACGCUGGAAAUAAGAAUCGUCAGAGGAAGGGAUAGCGAAAUCGUGGCUCUACGAAUAGGAACGUGAUAAUAAGGCGUAUAUAGCGGAUAAGGGGGUCUCAAACUCUAAAGUUCAAAAAGGUAGUCGUAACCUAUAUGCGUAAAUCACGAGAGCAACUGAAUUUGUUCAUUCGAGGAUGGAUAAACUAUUUCUCAUUGGGAAAUAUGAAAAGUAUAGUCACUAGCAUAGAUGAGCGCUUGCGUACUCGCCUACGAGUGAUUAUCUGGAAGCAAUGGAAGAAGAAAUCGAGACGAUUAUGGGGAUUGCUUAAGUUAGGGGUUCCUAAAUGGAUAGCAGAUAAGGUAUCUGGCUGGGGCGACCAUUAUCAAUUAGUAGCUCAGAAGUCGGUACUUAAACGUGCUAUAUCAAAUAGUAACAAGAAAAUAAACCGAAAACGCUGUAGUAUUAAUUCGCGGUGGUCGUGUAAAGGAUUUACCNGUAUUAGCUAGUUGGUGGGGUAACGGCUCACCAAGGCGACGAUACAUAGCCGACCUGAGAGGGUGAUCGGCCACACUGGGACUGAGACACGGCCCAGACUCCUACGGGAGGCAGCAGUAGGGAAUCUUCGGCAAUGGACGGAAGUCUGACCGAGCAACGCCGCGUGAGUGAAGAAGGUUUUCGGAUCGUAAAGCUCUGUUGUAAGAGAAGAACGAGUGUGAGAGUGGAAAGUUCACACUGUGACGGUAUCUUACCAGAAAGGGACGGCUAACUACGUGCCAGCAGCCGCGGUAAUACGUAGGUCCCGAGCGUUGUCCGGAUUUAUUGGGCGUAAAGCGAGCGCAGGCGGUUAGAUAAGUCUGAAGUUAAAGGCUGUGGCUUAACCAUAGUAGGCUUUGGAAACUGUUUAACUUGAGUGCAAGAGGGGAGAGUGGAAUUCCAUGUGUAGCGGUGAAAUGCGUAGAUAUAUGGAGGAACACCGGUGGCGAAAGCGGCUCUCUGGCUUGUAACUGACGCUGAGGCUCGAAAGCGUGGGGAGCAAACAGGAUUAGAUACCCUGGUAGUCCACGCUGUAAACGAUGAGUGCUAGGUGUUAGACCCUUUCCGGGGUUUAGUGCCGUAGCUAACGCAUUAAGCACUCCGCCUGGGGAGUACGACCGCAAGGUUGAAACUCAAAGGAAUUGACGGGGGCCCGCACAAGCGGUGGAGCAUGUGGUUUAAUUCGAAGCAACGCGAAGAACCUUACCAGGUCUUGACAUCCCUCUGACCGCUCUAGAGAUAGAGUUUUCCUUCGGGACAGAGGUGACAGGUGGUGCAUGGUUGUCGUCAGCUCGUGUCGUGAGAUGUUGGGUUAAGUCCCGCAACGAGCGCAACCCCUAUUGUUAGUUGCCAUCAUUUAGUUGGGCACUCUAGCGAGACUGCCGGUAAUAAACCGGAGGAAGGUGGGGAUGACGUCAAAUCAUCAUGCCCCUUAUGACCUGGGCUACACACGUGCUACAAUGGCUGGUACAACGAGUCGCAAGCCGGUGACGGCAAGCUAAUCUCUUAAAGCCAGUCUCAGUUCGGAUUGUAGGCUGCAACUCGCCUACAUGAAGUCGGAAUCGCUAGUAAUCGCGGAUCAGCACGCCGCGGUGAAUACGUUCCCGGGCCUUGUACACACCGCCCGUCACACCACGAGAGUUUGUAACACCCGAAGUCGGUGAGGUAACCGUAAGGAGCCAGCCGCCUAAGGUGGGAUAGAUGAUUGGGGUGAAGUCGUAACAAGGUAGCCGUAUCGGAAGGUGCGGCUGGAUCACCU